ACAUCAUCCUGUAGGAAGUGACAUCAUUUUUUGGUGGGAAUACAACAGGGCAAAAUUAGCUUGGUUCAUGGGUGACUGACCUGAUUGGGUGCUGAUGUGGAGCUAUCGUGCAGGCCGUCAUGUGGCGACAAUGCAUCUACCAUAUUUUUGCCGUCCCGUAACUCCAGUAUAUUGCUGUCCAGAUCCUCCGUGAAGCAGCUCUCCUGCGGUUCAGAGCUCAUAGAAACAAGAAUUACCACCAACAGAUGAAAUCAAAAGUAAUGGGACAGAAGAUUGUGUCACCUCAGUCGCAAUCCUUUAAUUGCACUUCUUUUGUUCAUGAAAGCCAUUCGUAAAUGCACCACUUUUGAGAGAGCAGUUUAACUCUCACAAUGCCUCUGUGCCACAAAAAGACUGAAAAACCCAAGGUGGCACGACAAAUUGCUCUGUAUAUUUUUCGUACAAAUACCAUGCUGUUAUUUUUCUCCAGACAACAGUUCAUUAUGAGGCCAUGUGAUAUUUUGACAGAGUUGUAGCGUCAGACAUGAACUCAAGUCUUAAAUCACCAAGACUAAGGAUGAGAAUUCAUUAAUACGUGAGUGUUUGAAUAAACUUUGAAAAUUGUUGAAGACAAACUCAGAAUCAGACAGAUUGUUUGUGGUACUCAAUGUUAUCAUGACAACAACAACAACUUGGAGUUUUAGAAUUCAUUUGCUUUAUUCGAAACAAGACUGUAUUUAAUUCAUCUGAAAACAACUUGUCUUAGUCCAUCAGCAAUUAAAAUAUGCUGUUUCAUUAUGUCAUUCUGUAUAUAAAAUUGUCAUCAUUUAUUAUUUCUUUGUAGUUGUCUGAUAAAUGUUUUUGAAGCUUUAGCCAUUUUAAGAGAAUUCAAUAAUUACAUUUGUUGUUACA